UACGUAGGGGGCAAGCGUUGUCCGGAAUUAUUGGGCGUAAAGCGCGUGUAGGCGGCUCGAUAAGUCUGCUGUUAAAGUCCAGGGCUCAACCCUGGGAUGCCGGUGGAUACUGUCGAGCUCGAGUCCGGAAGAGGAGUGUGGAAUUCCUGGUGUAGCGGUGAAAUGCGCAGAUAUCAGGAGGAACACCAAUGGCGAAGGCAGCACUCUGGGACGUGACUGACGCUGAGACGCGAAAGCGUGGGGAGCAAACAGG
rnacentral:rRNA from 1 species